rnacentral:rRNA from 1 species
AACGAACGCUGGCGGCAUGCCUAACACAUGCAAGUCGAACGAGACCUUCGGGUCUAGUGGCGCACGGGUGCGUAACGCGUGGGAACCUGCCCUUAGGUUCGGAAUAACUCCCCGAAAGGGGUGCUAAUACCGGAUAAUGUCUUUGGACCAAAGAUUUAUCGCCUUUGGAUGGGCCCGCGUUGGAUUAGCUAGUUGGUAGGGUAAAAGCCUACCAAGGCGACGAUCCAUAGCUGGUCUGAGAGGAUGAUCAGCCACACUGGGACUGAGACACGGCCCAGACUCCUACGGGGGGCAGCAGUGGGGAAUAUUGGACAAUGGGCGAAAGCCUGAUCCAGCAAUGCCGCGUGAGUGAUGAAGGCCUUAGGGUUGUAAAGCUCUUUUACCCGGGAUGAUAAUGACAGUACCGGGAGAAUAAGCUCCGGCUAACUCCGUG